CGUAGUUGGACCUCUGAUGCGCGAUGGCGGUCCGCCUCACGGUGAGCACUGCUGUUGUGUGUCUUCCUCUCGCAGGCUUUCGGUGCACUUAACUGGGUGCCGUCUGAAUGUGGGACCUUUACUUUGAAAAAAUUAGAGUGUUCAAAGCAGGCAUACGCUUGAAUACAUUAGCAUGGAAUAAUGGAAUAGGACUUUGGUUCUAUUUUGUUGGUUUCUAGGACCGAAGUAAUGA
rnacentral:rRNA from 1 species